rnacentral:lncRNA from 1 species
CGCGGCACCUCUCUCCCGAAGCCCUCUCCCUUAGGGAAGACGCUGCUCCUCCCCAAACUGGAAGAGCAGCGGCCUGGAGGGUCACUGCCUGGAGGACUCACAGUUUACAUAUCAAUACAGGCUGAAGCACUUUGCAAAACUGCCCUUUAGGAACAAUUAUCACUCUGGCCCUCGAGGUUCGGAGCAGCCCCCUCCCUUUAGCAACCCGGCUUAAAGUGAUACUGAGAAGGGCUCGGGGGCGGGGGGGGGGGGGCGCAGGGAGAGAGAGAGAGAGAUCGCGCGCAGUAACAAACGUGCUUUAAAGAGAAGAGAUGAAAAGGAGGUUAUUGUCGGCUUGUCAGUUUAGGGAUCGCUCUCGGUACCUUUCCGCUUCCUAGAGAAAUGGAACCCUGAUUCUAAGGCGACUAACGCAGGAAUGGGGGAUUUCAAGAGACGCUUCAGAGAACUUUAAAACUUUCAAUAAUGUUUUAAAUACCUGGGGAAUAAAAACAAAAACCAAGAGUAAUAAUGUUGGAGGAAGAGGCAGUGGAAAGGAACAGAGAAUAGGAGCAAAAGGAAAAACAAAGGUGACUGGACAAAAAGGGAAUCCCAUCAAAGCAAGAAGGGGUGAAGUGGCUGAGAAGGGCCAGUGCCAGUGGUAUGUGACUCCAGGAUCUACUGAAAGAAGUUUGCAUUGCAGGUCCAUUUGUAGAUCUUGAUCUACACAUCAGAGACUCAAUAGUUAAUUUUACUCACUAAGAUAAAGGUCUUAUUUAUCUGAUUUUAACAGAUGUAAUAAAAUUAUUUAAAUUAAUCUUUACCAGAUGGCUCUCUUAUCCUUUACAUCAUUUCAUACAUUUUUUAAUCUAUAAAAAUGUUGGUGGUAAAUAGAGAACAUGAUGUAAAAUGUCAACUCUUUCCAACAGGUUAGAGUAGAAGAUGGUUUUGUUUAACUGAGUUGUGCAACAUAAAUACCAAUAGCUGAG